GACGAACGCUGGCGGCGCGCCUAACACAUGCAAGUCGAACGAGCAAAGAGGAGCUUGCUUCUCUGAGCGAGUGGCGAACGGGUGAGUAACGCGUGAGGAACCUGCCUCAAAGAGGGGGACAACAGUUGGAAACGACUGCUAAUACCGCAUAAGCCCACGGGUCGGCAUCGACCAGAGGGAAAAGGAGCAAUCCGCUUUGAGAUGGCCUCGCGUCCGAUUAGCUAGUUGGUGAGGUAAUGGCCCACCAAGGCGACGAUCGGUAGCCGGACUGAGAGGUUGAACGGCCACAUUGGGACUGAGACACGGCCCAGACUCCUACGGGAGGCAGUAGUGGGGAAUAUUGCACAAUGGGGGAAACCCUGAUGCAGCGACGCCGCGUGGAGGAAGAAGGUCUUCGGAUUGUAAACUCCUGUUGUUGAGGAAGAUAAUGACGGUACUCAACAAGGAAGUGACGGCUAACUACGUGCCAGCAGCCGCGGUAAAACGUAGGUCACAAGCGUUGUCCGGAAUUACUGGGUGUAAAGGGAGCGCAGGCGGGAAGACAAGUUGGAAGUGAAAUCCAUGGGCUCAACCCAUGAACUGCUUUCAAAACUGUUUUUCUUGAGUAGUGCAGAGGUAGGCGGAAUUCCCGGUGUAGCGGUGGAAUGCGUAGAUAUCGGGAGGAACACCAGUGGCGAAGGCGGCCUACUGGGCACCAACUGACGCUGAGGCUCGAAAGUGUGGGUAGCAAACAGGAUUAGAUACCCUGGUAGUCCACACCGUAAACGAUGAUUACUAGGUGUUGGAGGAUUGACCCCUUCAGUGCCGCAGUUAACACAAUAAGUAAUCCACCUGGGGAGUACGACCGCAAGGUUGAAACUCAAAGGAAUUGACGGGGGCCCGCACAAGCAGUGGAGUAUGUGGUUUAAUUCGACGCAACGCGAAGAACCUUACCAAGUCUUGACAUCCUGCGACGGACAUAGAAAUAUGUCUUUCCUUCGGGACGCAGAGACAGGUGGUGCAUGGUUGUCGUCAGCUCGUGUCGUGAGAUGUUGGGUUAAGUCCCGCAACGAGCGCAACCCUUAUGGUCAGUUACUACGCAAGAGGACUCUGGCCAGACUGCCGUUGACAAAACGGAGGAAGGUGGGGAUGACGUCAAAUCAUCAUGCCCUUUAUGACUUGGGCUACACACGUACUACAAUGGCGUUAAACAAAGAGAAGCAAGACCGCGAGGUGGAGCAAAACUCAGAAACAACGUCCCAGUUCGGACUGCAGGCUGCAACUCGCCUGCACGAAGUCGGAAUUGCUAGUAAUCGUGGAUCAGCAUGCCACGGUGAAUACGUUCCCGGGCCU
rnacentral:rRNA from 1 species